UGCAGUUUGCCACGUAAUCUCCCGAGUUCAGACCACAUGCCGCGUUCACUUGCUAGUCAGAACUAGGAAACUUCAGACUUGCUAACUGGUUGUAGUUGCUGUAUACACGUGUCGCGUUUCAGCACUUAUAGCCAGUCGGAAAUGUCCGACUUUCCUAGUCCCGACUAGUAAGUGAACGCGGCAAUAGACAUAGGUACAAGGGGCAGUCUGCGGAGUGAGUAGCAGAGCAACAGAAGCCUGGUGAAACUGGACGUGGUUACACGGGCAAAACAGAAGCGCAUAACGUUACAAAUUCAAGGUGGAUGUUAUUUUCCUUUCUUUUGUGAAAACAAAACAUUGAAACGUGGAUAUUGUUAAUUGAAGUAGGUGCGUGGUGUUGGCAAGCAAGUGGACCUCCACCCGACUGCACCUCCAGAACUGUAGAGGCAGUCACUGCACCUGCAGGAUUUGUCUGAUAGAUUUGGCUGAGCCUAGCUGAGUGCUGCAGUGUGUCCACCCAGGGAGGGAACCACCAUGAGGCAGCUGAAGGGGAAGCCCAAGAAGGAGACGUCCAGGGACAAGAAGGAACGUAAGGCAGCCAUGCAGGAGGCCCGGUCGCAGGUGGCCACAGUGGUUCUACCCACGUUGGCUGUGGUGGUGCUGCUCAUCGUAGUCUUUGUCUACGUGGCCUCCAUGCCCAGAGCCAUAGAGUAGUGACCAGUUCCACACCCCUCACCUUGGCCCUAACCCCUCAAUUUUAGUGUGUCUGUAGGCUUUUAAUAGGUAUAAGCAGUGUCAGGGCUCUCCAAUGCUGUUCCUGGAGAGCUACCAUCCUGUAGGUCUUCACUCCGACCCUGUUCCUGGAGAGCUACCGUCCUGUAGGUCUUCACUCCGACCCUGUUCCUGGAGAGCUACCGUCCUGUAGGUCUUCACUCCGACCCUGUUCCUGGAGAGCUACCGUCCUGUAGGUCUUCACUCCGACCCUGUUCCUGGAGAACCUAAACCUACAGGAUGGUAGCUCUCCAGGAACAGCGUUGGAGAGCCCUGAGCAGUGUAGUUGUAAUUCCACCAUAGGAGCAAUAUCUAAUAGUUCUGGGCCAAGGGGAAGGGUAGGGACCGGCUCUAAUAAGACUGGGCCCCAAUGGGGAUGCAUGCCCCUGCCCUGCCACCAUGGACUGGCUCCCAAUUUACCCAGAGACUUGCUGCACCCAAAGGAUGACCCCAAACCACCCCUCCCCCUGACUGCCAGCUUAACAUUCAUAUAGACAUUUUCUGGUCACUCAUCCCAUCCUCACCCCAUUCCACCUUUUUGCUCUCAUCCCUCUUUCUCUCAUAUCGAUCUGUCUGUGUGGUCCUCAGGGACCUGCCAUUUGUCUUAAUUGAUGCGUCCUCCCAAGUGCAGUUUUGCCUCGAGAGAAUUGAGCUGUAAAACAAUCAGAUUUAAUGAGGUAUUAUGGUAGUGGCUUCAUAGUUGCCUUUUGAUGGCUGAAGAUGUGGCAACUAAGGCAGCCAUGUUGGCUAAAGGGCGGAACUUAUGUCCAUUACAUCAGUGUUUGACAACCCUGGUCUUCGAGUACCUCGAACAGUACACCUUUUUAUUGAAACCCUGGACAAACACACCUGACUCAACUGAUUAUCAAGCCUCAAUCAGCUGAAUGAGGUGGGUUGCUGUUGGGGGUACUGGAGGACCAGGGUUACAUGUCUAUCAAUUGCUCUGUAACAACGGUAGGAUUUAUUUUUGUUCUGGUGCUGUGUUAGUUUAAAUUCCCUGUUUACAAAAGGACUGUUAGGGCAUAGCUUGCCAAGUUUGACCUGGGGAUGUUUUAAUCAGGUGACAGGUUGAGGAAGUGUGACUUAAUUAAUCUACUGGCAUUGUUGAGCAAUGUGUUUUAACAUUAAAGUCACAUGACAAAUGCCAGCAGUCCAAGCUAUGUCUGUAGAAUGUAUACAUCCACAAAUGUGUGAUUUAAAAAAAAUGUUUUUAUUUUUUUAUUUUCUGAAGAAAAAGAAACGUAUUUUAACAUGCCAGCAAUUGGUCCUGUCUGUUCGAAUAGUUGAAUGCAACUCAGGAUUUUGUCCUGAUUGAAUGUGGUGUUUGUACUGGACAGAUUGUGAAUAUGUCACAGGGGAACAUAACACUUUAUUCCAUGUACAAUCCCAGCGCUACACACUUUGUACUUUUUUUAAGCUACUGACAACUUUGACUUUUGAGUUGCUCAGUAUGACAUCUGUGCAGAUGAGGAAAAUAUGUGCCUUAUGUUUGACAAUGAGCCUUUUCAGUUAAUAAAGAACUGAAAGACUU